CCAACGGGGGGCUGCAGUGGGGAAUCUUGGGCAAUGGGGGAAACCCUGACCCAGCGACGCCGCGUGAGUGAGGAAGGUCUUCGGAUCGUAAAGCUCUGUCGGAUGGGAAGAAAUGUGUGGAAGUGAAUAGUUUCCAUGCUUGACGGUACCAUUAAAGGAAGCACCGGCUAACUCCGUGCCAGCAGCCGCGGUAAUACGGGGGGUGCAAGCGUUGUUCGGAAUCAUUGGGCGUAAAGGGCGUGUAGGCGGCUGGAUAAGUCAGAUGUGAAAUCCCUGGGCUUAACCCAGGAAGUGCAUUUGAAACUGUCCGGCUUGAGUAGGGGAGAGGAAAGUGGAAUUCCUGGUGUAGAGGUGAAAUUCGUAGAUAUCAGGAGGAACACCGGUGGCGAAGGCGACUUUCUGGCCCUAUACUGACGCUGAGACGCGAAAGCGUGGGUAGCAAACA
rnacentral:rRNA from 1 species